GAUGAACGCUGGCGGCGUGCCUAAUACAUGCAAGUCGAACGAGGUGCUUUUGUAGCAAUACGAGAGUAUCCUAGUGGCGAACGGGUGAGUAACGCGUUGGUGACCUACCCCAAAGUGUGGGAUAACAGUCCGAAAGGAUUGCUAAUACCGCAUGUGGUCUUCGGAUUUAGAAACUGAUGACUAAAGGAGCAAUUCGCUUUGGGAGGGACCUGCGUCCCAUCAGCUAGUUGGUGAGGUAAUGGCUCACCAAGGCUACGACGGGUAGGGGACCUGAGAGGGUGACCCCCCACAAUGGAACUGAACACGGUCCAUACACCUACGGGUGGCAGCAGUAGGGAAUAUUGCACAAUGGGCGAAAGCCUGAUGCAGCAACGCCGCGUGUGCGAUG
rnacentral:rRNA from 1 species